GAAGGAACGUUGAAGACGACGACGUUGAUAGGUCGGGUGUGUAAGCGCAGCGAUGCGUUGAGCUAACCGAUACUAAUGAACCGUGAGGCUUAACCUU
rnacentral:rRNA from 7 species